rnacentral:lncRNA from 7 species
GCCAAGUGCCAGUAAGAGGGACUGCUCAAAAGUUCCAUUGUGUUUUGACAAACACCCUGUCUAAAGGUACUGGAAGGAAAGGAAAGGGACAUGAAACUUGGUAAAUAUAUUUAUUCUGAAAAAUCAAGAUUUUGACCUGGCCAAUACGGACUGUGAAGAAUUAGCUUCUAAAUACAAAUGACAAGAAGUUGGUUUGAAUCACUGAAGAUUUACCAGAAAAGGAUUUAAAGGCAAAAUACUUAAAGAGCUGAGAUCAGUGAGGCCAUAAGUAAUUGCAUCUCAAGUUUUCUGAAAACUGAUGUGUUUUAUGUAAUCACAGAUGGAGAGGAUGAUUUGCUCAUGUUCAUUCUUUUGUUAACAUGUUUGCUACUUAAUGGGAAUGAGAACUGACUUCAAUAGAAAAAGCAUUUUUCUGGAAAGCUCUUUCCAGUCGUUGAUGGACAAGUGCAGCAUCAAAUGCUUAUUGCCACUGCACCUUUUAUGAAACAUUUGAAAGACAUAUUAUCAUCUGACAACCUCCUUAAACCAUGCAAGACAUUUUCUGCUACUAAGAGAAUUUCUUUUGAGCACCUCAUGCCUUCAGCCUUGACUUUCCACAGCUCUGAUUGAUAGCCAUGUGCCUUCUCCCUCUACGCACCAGAACUGACCAAUGUUUCCAACAUUUUGGUCAUUCUGUAGUAUGAAAAGCUGAAAGUCAAUCCAAUUUCUCUCCUUCACGUGCUAAUGCCAUAAUGUAGAUGAGAAUGUUGAGUGCAUCUCAUGGGGGAAACAAAGAAUCAUGUUUUCCUGCUGCAAGGAAGGGUAUUUGCUGAGAGGAAGUAGGUAUGAGAAUACAUGGACAAAUGAGCUUCCUCUAUUAUGCAGAAUAAAUCUGCAUGCUUAGAAUAUCUCCAUAAAGAAGUCAUUUUGGAUUUGAAGUAUUGAUAUAUAAUUAGAAAAGUUUUAAUUCCUCAAGCAAGGCUUAUUCCUUUGGGUAGAAGAGUAGUAACUGACAGAAGACAAAAUGGUGUAACUGUAACUGUAUCUAUAGUAGAGACAAUAUCCUUGUAAUUAUAAGGGUGGAAAUACUCUUCUGAUUGAAAUAUUUAGGUGAGUAUAAAGUUGGCUCCUGCUCACACGAUCUGGUUCUUUUUAAACAAGUAAACACUGGAAAGCAAGUGGUAGAUCUGUAAUUGUUUAUAUCACUCCAGCAGCAUUCAAAACUAAGUCAAAGAUAGAAGAGAUGAAGAAUCCAACUACUAUUUCUCUUAGAAACUUUCAGUACAUAGAAAUGAACAAUAAUCUGAUGGGCCCACAAUAAGGAAUGGCUAAAAAAAAAAGGGAACAGUCUGGCACUUUAAUCAAUCCUUCUUGUAGACUCAAAUAACCAUAUCAAGGAAAAAUUUCUUGCAUAUACACGUAUAUUCAUAUAUAUAUAUGUAGUGCAUAUGUAUGCAUAUACCUUUAUGUGUGCAUCUGUUUACCAAUAUUUUUUUUCAUUUUUUUAUGGUUUACUGUAUAUAUUGUAAGCCUCCCAAGUUACCGUUAUGAUGUACCUUGU